CCCGCCCCGCCCCCGCUGGACACGUCGGGGCGGAAGUCGAGCUUGGCUCCUUGGCUGGCGCCCUGGCUGAAGGCGCCCUCCUGGGUUCGAGCCGGAAGGAAGUGAAGUGGACCGGGCAGGAGCGAACCUCCUCCUCGCCGGGUCCGAGUGGCAGCCAGGGUUUCUGGAACAGGCGCUCUAGGGGUUGAGGAGGAUGGGGACGAACAGGCGGCUCCUGCCGGCCGCAAUCGCCCUGAUUUGGGGCUUUCUGCUACCUAUGACAGUUGCUCAGGAAGGAAUCAUACAUGCACAUGGAAAUGGAACAUUAUCAUCUAAGGACUACUGCAUGCUAUAUAAUCCAUAUUGGAAAGCUCUUCCCCCUACACUAGAAAAUUCAACUUCACUUAGUCUGGAAAACCUGACCUCACCACUCUGCAACUUUUCGGAUAUUCCUUCCACUGGAAUAAAGAACAAAGCAGUUGCAGUAUCAUGGGGCACUUGUGAAUUUCUGGAAAAAGCCAGGAUUGCCCAGAGAGGAGGUGCUAAAGCAUUAUUGAUUGCUAAUGGCAGUUUACUUUUUCCUCCAUCAGGAAACAUAUCUGAAUUUCAAGAUAUGAAAAUAAUAAUUGCAUUUAUGAGUAAAAAAGACUUGAGAGAUAUGCAGCAGACUCUUGGAAAUAAUAUUACUGUGAACCUGUAUUCUCCACCAUGGCCUAAUUUUGACUAUACUAUGGUAGUCAUCUUUAUAAUUGCUGUAUCAACUGUGGCCUUAGGAGGUUACUGGAGUGGCAUCAGCGAAUUGGAAGAUAUGAAGGCAGUGACAAACGCUGAAGAAAGAGAAACAAAAAAGAAGGAAGACUCUGUAACUUUCACUCCACUUACAGUUAUAAUCUUUGUGGUUGGCUGUUGUGUUAUAAUUAUUUUACUUUAUUUCUUCUACAAAUGGUUAGUCUAUGUUAUGAUCUCAAUUUUCUGCUUGGCAUCUUCAAUGAGUUUAUACAACUGUCUUGCACCACUGAUUAGGAAAAUACCAUGUGGACACUGCAGGAUUACAUGUGGCAGCAAAAGCCUUGAAGUAAGACUUCUCUUUCUUUCGGCAUUUUGCAUAUCCGUGGCUGUUGUUUGGGCUGUAUUUCGAAAUGAUGACAGGUGGGCUUGGAUUUUACAAGAUAUCUUGGGAAUGGCUUUCUGUCUGAAUCUAAUUAAGACAUUGAAAUUACCCAACUUCAAGGCAUGUGUAAUUCUUCUAGUUCUUCUUCUCAUCUAUGAUGUAUUCUUUGUAUUCAUAACACCAUUCAUCACAAAGAAUGGUGAAAGUAUCAUGAUUGAAGUUGCAGCUGGACCUUUUGGAAGCAAUGAAAAGUUGCCAGUGGUUAUCAAGGUACCAAGACUCAUAUAUUUCUCAGCAAUGAGUGUAUGUCUAGCACCUGUUUCAAUACUGGGUUUUGGAGACAUCAUUGUUCCAGGUCUUCUGGUUGCUUAUUGUCGAAGAUUUGAUAUUCAUGUUGGUUCUUCUAUCUACUAUGCUUCCUGUGUAAUUGCCUAUGCUGUGGGCAUGGUGCUCACUUUUAUAGUUCUUGUGCUGAUGAAGCAGGGGCAGCCAGCUCUUCUCUACUUAGUACCUUGCACACUUAUUACUGUUGUGAUUGUUGCUUGGAGACGAAAGGAGGUUAAGAAGAUCUGGAAAGGCAGUAACUACCAGUUCACAGUGAGACUCCCAGUGGAAAGCGGUGAUGAUGAACAGGAACAACACCAAGAACAGCAAGGCCACAACACAGAUGAUGAUGCUUCUGGCAAAGUCACUGAUCCCCAUCUUGGGUCAGGGUCAUCUCUAUAAAGGUAGCUAAGAGAUUGUGCAUGCAGCCUGACCCAAUGUUAGGGUCAAUAUUAAGAAUCAUCCUGUACCACUUCCUGUUCCUGUUCCUUGGUCUACCAACCAGGAAUUGGGAGUUCUGUUAGGGAGAAGGGGCAUAUGAGGAAUACCAAAUAUGUGUCCCUUGAGAGGCUUCUGUUCCUCCCCUCUUCCAAUGGACUUAAGUAGUCAAUUUUAACACUAGAUCUCCCAACACCUCCCAACAAUGCUAUUCCUUCAUUCUCUGAGCCACUAAAGAGAAGGAAUUGGCCAGUGACAGAAAUUACUGUAUUGAUAGCAAUAUGGAAGAGUCCUAUCAGUUCCAGAUUACAGUAAGAAAAGGGCUUCAUGAGGCCUGCCUUUGCUGUGGCACAAACCAGUGCCCACCCUAUUGCCUGCUCUGCUUUUGCUGCCAUCUAUUCCAUUGCUUGGGGUGCUGUGUCCUGGGACAGGCUAAGUGCUGCUGUACAUGCUGCUACUCCUAAGGCCUCAGGGCUGCUACUUUAUGCCAGAGCCAUGCACUACCACAGGCGCUACCUCUCCUAGAGCCUGAGUUUUACUGUGUUGGACCAGAGAAAACACUGUUGAGGGGGAUUAUGCUUUCCCCUCCUAUUCUGGGACAUGUGCUAGGAUUCCCUCUUCAGGAACCCCUAAGCUAUUCCUAACUGGGAGUCCUAGAGAAAAAGAAAGUUAUGGUUCACAGGAACAAGAAUGGAAGCAAUCUAUUCUUUUACUCAUUUCAAACUGUCUUCAACAAAUCAGCUGCUAUACAUAAAACACAUAUCUCAAAUUCUGGAAAGAUCACUAGGUUGCUGUAAAAGAUCAAGCUUUAUCCUUUCAUAUGUCUCCCCAGUACUUUUAAGCAGAGGAUACCAAUAAAGUUCAGCAAAUGCCAUGUAAAAAUCCUGAAGAUGUUCCUUCAGAAUAGUUCUCAGACAGUUCUCACAUCCCAUUCUUUAGCAUGUAUAAGGUCUACCACAGCUGCCAAAUAUAAGAACUAUACAAAUUCAUCAAAUGGUUGUUUAUAGCAUUUAUCAUUAUCAGUGCAUGUUUCAUAGAGACACAAAGCACAUUCACAUUUGCCUCUUAACUUCUGAACAUCCAUAGUCAGUUUACUCUCUUAUCCUACUGAAGCAAUAGAGCUGUCUCACAUUCUGCAGGCACUGCCAUCCUAAAUAAGCAAAAUCUUCUGGGGCUCGCCUUUUUCCCACUUGAGCAAAACCAUUCCAGUCUAACCUGGCAGCUCAUGGACUGUUCAGCAGUUAAUAAAAAGAAGUUUAAUUAGCCACAGCUUUGAAAGAACCUCAGUAAGGAAUCAACAUUAAUUCUCUUGGGAGCAGUUUCUCUGCCUCCUUGUUGGCCAUGCUGGCCCACCAUUCUAAUCUGAGAGAGCAACUAUUGCCUCUUGGUUUCCUGGUUUUGUAUACUUAGCUUCCACUGUCUCAAAGAUGGUUUCAAUAUCUUGUCAAGAAAAUCUAGCCUACAUGGCAGAUAAUACUCUGGGAAAGAUUUGUAUCCUCUAGGGCUUAUCACAGUGCCUGGCAUAUAAUAAGUGCUUAGUGAAUGGUUUGUUCAUUUAUUCAUUCAUUUGAAAGAUUAAUAAGGACUUGAACAAGAUGAGGCUGUCAUCUAAACCAGUAGAGGAAAUGAGGUAACUGAUACAUCAAAGGAUCAUUAUUAUUUAAGGUCAUGUUGAAAACAACAGUUUAUAGGAAGACUUGCUUUGACUUUUAAGAUAAUUUCCUAUAGACUCUUCCAUAAUUAAGUGUCUCAUUUAUCUUCCAAGUCUUAUGACAUAUCUCUGCUUGGAAGGGAAUUGGAUAAAAGCAGCCACAUUUGGGCCCUACUUCUGCUGAUAUUGCAUCCCUGUUUAUAAAUGUGGAAGCCAUGAAUCAAGAAUUCCAGUGUUUUAGUAAAAAAAAAACCUUGAAGUUUGAUAAAAAAUUAUUCAUGGAUAUUGGACCUAAGACCUAUUCUAAUUAUCAGACAUGUGUGAGCAUCCAUUAUAGAGAUUUUACUGAUAGAGAAAUGAAUAUGUCUUCCAUAGAUUAUCUUUUUUUCACAAGUUGAAAUUGAUACCUUCCACCUACUUAUUCUGUACUACAGUAAGCUCUUUCUAAGAGAUUGGUCUGAGUUAAUAAAAACUUAAUUUAUAAAAUUUUUUAAAAUAUAAAAUUAAUAGCUCCAAGAAUGGUAGCCAUCAUAUACACCUUAAUCUGUGUCAAAGCAGAUUAAUGAUUCACGCAUAGCUUUCAAAAAUUAUUCCUAAAGUCCUUAAAAAGGGUUAAUUAAACCACAAUUCAAAAUGAAAUAGGAAAUUAUGAAUGUGAAUGCUUUUCAGUUAUCUAAUAUUCCCUUCUCUCUUCAAAAUAUGAAUCAGACCCAGAAUCUCUUGACUUCAUCCCUUUUCCCUAUUUUAGAAUAAAAAUAUUUGGAAGAGAAGUUAGAGGAAUGUUUUUUUCUAGGAAUAGCAAUUAUCAAAGUGCUAAUAUUAAUAUUUUGUGAAGAAGCUGAAUGGCCCCACAGACAUUUCUGGCAUUUUUUAAUAAAUAGAAGAGCUGUCCUAAAAGGAAUAUACUCUUACUUGGGUGAAAAUGUUGUUGCAUCAUAGAUUAACAUCUGCCAGUAGGUCAUAGUUGGCUGGUACAUAUUGAAAUUCAUACUUCGUCAGAGAGAAUGAAUGGGAAAAUGUUCCAGGUUUUUCAAAGAGAAAAGGAUGUUCAACUUGAUUCAUAUAUACUCCACUCUCAGCUUUUAUUCUGUCAUAUGAAUUCUUAAACUCACCUUUGUAAUUCUGUUUUUUAACCACUCUCUUUAAGAUGGCAGGAAUAAUUUGCUCCACACUAUGUCAUACUGAUGACCUACACAGACUAGCAAUAUGUUUCUGCCAUCAUAGUCAAUUUUCAUAUAGCAUUAUUUUCAUUAUAUUAUUCUACUGCACAAAACAGUAGUCUCCCAACACCUUUCAGAUCAACUUCAAAAUCCUUGCCCUGCAUUCACAGCCCACAGCCCACAUUAAUUACAAAAUAAAUGACCUUUUGUGGCCAAGUAAUAGCAGAAGAGAUUCACCCUCAAAGAGGUAUCUUAUGUGAGAUGUUUAUGAGAUAUACAAGAAAGAAUUCUUCAAGACCCAAAACCCUUCAGGAUACAAGGCAUACACCAAAAUGACAUACUGCUGUAUUUAAAAAUCAUUGAAUAUCAGUAAUAUUUUACCACUUCGUAAGCAUUCUUAAAGAUAUUAAACACAAUAGAGAGCUAAAUGUGAAUGACAGCUACUACUUGAUUUAUUUUAUCAUUCUCAGUUUUCUCCAUUAUGUAGUCUUUCUAUUAGUUACUCAACCAAUCAAAAGUAUUUAUUAAGUAUCUGCUAUGUGCCAAACACCGUGCUAGAAAUACAAAUACAAAGAAUGAAGUAAUCACUACUCUUAAAGAAUUCAUAUUCUAAUAGGGAGAAAACUAGAUGUGUGCAUAAAUACAAACCUGUUUAUCUUUUAAUAUGCCAAAUUGUCACAUGUGAUUAUAUAUGAAGGCACAUUUUAAACUUCGAACCAGAGGUUUAUACCACUUCUAAUUUGUGGCCUUUAUUCCCUAUGAGUUUUUUUUUUUAACUUAAGCUGUUUUAAAAUGAAAUAUAAGGCUAUCCAAAAUAAAAUUAAUUAAACAUGCAAAUCAAAUUUGAUAGCAUAUUCAUUUAAUCUGUUAUUGCUCUGGACUUAGGCUGUUGGCUUGUCUCCCUUGAUGAAGUCAAAACUAAAUGAAGUGAGAGAAUUUUUACUUUUGUUUCUGGAUUUGGUAAUGUCAUGAAUAGUAUGGCAAACUUAACAUGAAUAGUCUGGCAAACAAAAGCAGACUUUUGCUUACAUUUGUGUGCUUAUAGCAGGAAAGGUCUGCUUUAAAAAGUUAGGGAUUUAUUCCUUAAUCUUGUGUCUUAAUGCUAACUGGUCUUUUCCAAACAGAAAUAGUAAAUUAUUACAGAAAAAAAUUCAGACUCAUUAAAGCAUUCUUAACUUGAAAAAAGUAAAUUACACAUUGUUUAUGUGUGUGUGUGUAUGAGCUGCUAUCUGUUUCUGAAUAUAAAAGAAUUCUUUUUGUGUUUCAUUUAUUUGAUUUAACUCAAUCCUUGUUUCUGACUAACAAAUAUAUAAUGAUAUGUUUUCUUUUGAAAAAUUUGUGGUUUGCUUGAUGGACUGAAAGCUAUAAAGGAUUUUAAAGAAUUAUUUUAUUUUUGUAGUAAAAAUUUCCAAUCCUGAAACACUAGGUUUUAAAACCUCAAUUAUUCUUAUCUGAAAGGGAAAUAACUUUAUAGCUGGCUAGCAUCCUACAAUCCAUCCAUUUUGGCUCUGCUAAAUGUCACAAGUACCUAUAUUAUUUUUAGAAGUCACAAGUUGAAACUAACAAGUGAUAAUAUAAAAGCACUCAGGGACAGUCUUUUCAACCUUGAUAUCAGUAUCUUUUCAGUUAUAUCAUUUUAUUGAAUAUUUAAUUGCCUAACUUGGAGAAAUGGAGAAAGCUCCAUUUAUAAAUAGAGAUAGCUACCUGCAAAUGGUCAAAUCAAUACUCAAGAUGAUGGAAAACAUGGACUAUGGAACUAAUGAAGAAAAUAUUGUAACAACCCGUCAACAAACUGUUGAACAGUGAUUUUGGGUGGAUCUGCAAUAAUAUGUUAUAUACAUUUUUCUACAAAGAGACAAUGAAGUUUGAUUUUUUAAAAUAAGAAUUUUGAAAGGGAAAUCUGAAAGAACAUUCAAUAAUUUGUAAUGCUUGCAAAAUAUGUAUUUUUUUAUGAGCUGAUACAAAGAAGUACAGCAUAAAUAAUUAAAAUGUACUUUAAGAGCCAAAAUAUUAGUUGUGCCUUCACAUUAAAUAAAAGCAUAUUGUCUGUGCAAUUUUCAAAUGCAAUGUAUACAGAAUACUUUUUUUUCUGAAAGCAUUUCUUGCUCCUGGGCCUCUGGUUAAACACUUCUUCUGGAUUGAAUUUGGUUCUAUGACUAAUGACAAAUGGCUAUUUUUGUCACAGUGAGCCUCUGAACAGAUUAUACUAUUAAAGAAUCAUACAGAUAUUUUUAUCAGUCCAUAUAUAUGUAGAAAUAACUAAAAUAUAAAAGACAGUAGUUCUCUUUUUUUUUUUUAAUGAAUAAUUGACCCUCUCAAGUAAGCAGGGAAUAGAAUCUUAAUUUGGGGAAUAUGGAGAAGAUGUUAUUUUUUAUAUAACAUAAAGGAACUUUACAAUUGGGAGCCAAAUUAAGGGUUAUUUUACACAUCUUAUUGUAACCUUUUUUUGCAAUAGCAGAUAUUAAGAAAAUAGAGGACUAAAAUUUUAAUUGCUAGCACCAAAAUUUAAUUUCUGAUUUCCAAUGGUUUACCAUUUCUUGAUGUGGUAGCUUUCAUCUUUUCAUUAACAUUAGAUUUGGCUUAAAUGGGUGUAAUCAGGUAGUGGUAAAAUGGUAGCCUGUGUGAUAUAAUGGGAAGAACAUGAACUUGUCAAGAACUUGGUUUUAGUCCUUGUCAUUAACUUCUGCUUUUGUUUCUUCUCCUGUGUAAAAGUUAGAUUAGAUGAACUCUGAAGUCCCUGCCUACUCUAAUAUUCAGUGAUUUAAGGCUCAUCAAAUUAGGAAUCUGGCAGUUAAUUCAAAGACAUAAAUCCUGAUAGAGGACAGUGAGUCAAAAUCACCUUUAUACCUUUUUUUUCCUUUUUUGCUCUUCUUGUGAAUUCUUAAACAAUGAAAGAAACACAAAAUUGAUUUUGCAAUUGCCAAGAUAUUACAGUUCAGUAAAUAAUUUUGAAAAUAUGUGUGGCUAUAAUCUUCCAUUUUUAAGGACAAAAUUUACUUACCAGAAGUUAUGGCUAAUAUUUCUCUUUAUCAAAGAUCAGACAUAUGACACAGACAAAAUUUGGACCAUGAGGGAAUUUCGUUCUUUGGUUUAAUGUUUAACUUUGCUUAAGUAAAUUACCAAUGGAAAAGAGGCUAAAAUAAUUAAACAUAGCAUAUUAAAACAAUUCCCUUUGGGCCCUCUGAAUACUUGAGCCCUUAGUUUUGCUUAGAAUUUAAGGCCAUAGUAUUUAAGAAUCAAAGGGAACCUUAAGAAUUGUCUGGUCUUGUCCUCUUCAGUUUGAAAAUGUAUAAACUAAAGUCCAGAGAGUUUGUAAGCCAAAUUAACACUAGUUAUUGACCUAAUUGGGACCAAAACCUAGGCUUUUGUAGGUUCUCACUGAAUGAAUGCCUUAUUUGAGACAAAAAAAUAAGAAAUAAAGAAAAAUUAAGAAGGAAAGUUUCAUAUUGCAAAUCCAGUUUAUUUGGGAGAUUCUCAUAGUGAAAGAGUGAAUGAUGAAUUAAAUUGCUUUAAAAAGGUUCACCUAUAUUUUGACAUACAUCAGUAAGAUUUUUCAUUUAGUAGAUUCUUUUGAAAAAAUGCCCUUUCAUCUAAACUGACAGUUGAAGCCUUAAAAACAUGAUUAUCCUUUUCUACUUUAUUAAAUUAACCCAAAAUAGCAUGAGAUUUUGUCUGUUGCAUAUGCCUUAAAAUAAAGAUUCCAUUUCAUAUCAUUGAAAAAAUAAUUACUUAAAUAUGUUUAAUUUAAUAAUCUUUCUGCUUCUUGAAAUAUAACAAAUUUUCCAGUUCGAAAAUGAGCUUCUUUGAUACAAUUUUCUUAUUUCUAAGCAUUGCUUUAUUGCUGCUUUCAGUGGUAAAACUUAUUUUUAGUUAAAACUAUUGAAAGAACUCAACUUAUUCAUAACUUUCAUAGAUUUAAUGUGUUGUUUAAAAAGUUAUAUUGGUCAGUGCAAGAACUGAAAUAUAACAGUUAAGAUAAAAGUUAAACAAGUUUUUAACUUUGUAACUUUAAAGUAUCUAUAAUAAAAUUACCUAAUCACCAAAAACAAAGUCCAAAACAAUCUCAAAUGAGUAAAAAUUGCUUCACAUUUUUUUCUCCUAUUAGUUUCAGAAGAAAAAGUUUCCUUUUUUGUUUUUCUCAUAAAACAAUAAAUUUGCAUCCUUAACACAGUAGAACAAAUUAUAACUAAUAUGAGAUAUGUAAAACUGCUUGUAGAUUAUAGAAUAUUCCUUCUAUGUGGAAUAUGUAAAUAUAUGUGUGUGUUUGUAUACAUAUAACUUUUAUUUAUUUAGAUUCAGAUGCUACUAAUAUGUGAGGCUACUAAGGUUGGAGAAAGGAUCUCAACAUUCCUCUGCAUUUGAGUUUUCCUAUUCAAAUUAUGGAAUGUGUACCUGAGAAACUUUUAAAUUUUCUGAUUCUCUUUUCCCCAAGUUACAUAAACUUAACCUUUUAAAUUAUUAUUUAGAGUGUAAGUUCUUUGGCUUUUUUUAAGUGAAAAUUUUGGUCUCUCUAACGGUUGGUCUUUGGACAUAGAGGUCUAAGGGAAGUGGACUUGUUUAAAGAGAAAAUAACCAAGCUUUGCAAACUCACACAAAAGGUGUUUGAUAGAUAUUCAUUGAAUUGAAUUCUGGUUUCUUCAUUGGAAAAAAAUCAUAUUUCUGAAUAUCAAACUUUUUUUAUCAGUGUGUGUGUAUAUAUGCUUAAUUAGUGAAACUUCUUUCCCAAUGUUAGCCAAUGAGAUUUUUUUAAAGGAUGCUUUUCAUUCUAGUGGAAGGCAUUAGAUUAGGAAUAUUUUCUAGUUCUCAUGAACACUGACUGUAAUUAUGUGACACUGGGCAAGUUUGUGUUACACAAACACAGCUUUUGACCAAUUUAGGUCAGAUCGAUCAGCUUUGUUAUUUUUGCCCAUACAAUGCCAAAUCAUUCGCUUGCGGUGUUAAUGUUUAACUUUUUCUUUUGCAUUUUGUGGAUGCUCAGCCCUCUGACAAUUUAUGUAAAAUUACUGUCCUUUUUACCAAAUAGAAAAAUCAUAAAAGAAAAAUGCACAAUAGUAUCUCCACUUACAUACUUCUUUAUAGUUUUCAAAAUACUUCCCUCAAAACCACCAUAUAAAUGUCAUAUAUAAAAUCACUUUGAGUUUCUCAAACAACAAAAAAAUACAAAUUGAAGAUACCUAAAUUGAAUUGCUAAACUUUUUGUAAUUUGUACAUUUAAUAUUAUGCAGUAUUACUUGAGUAAACAUUCUUCAUUACUACUUAGCUUUAAAGCCAUCCUUAUAAUAUUUCCAUUAUUUAGGACAAAGGUUUUUAUUUCUGUGGAAAAAGCUGGCAGUGAUGAAAUGAGACAUUCAGAAAAAAAGUUUUCAUCUAACACCCAAAAGCCAACCAUUAUUAGUUGUGAAGAAGGAACAUUUGCAAUAAAUAAUGAAAAAUUGUAGAAAAUGUAACCAUGAAUUAUUAACUCCUUUUGAAAGCCACUAAACGACUUGCAGUUAUCUUCAAGGGUAAACAUUGUUAAAAGUUAAGGCUCUUUACUAACCUGAAAACGAAGCAGUUUGUUAGCGAUAUCUCUACUUAACUUUUACUAUCAAAGUGGCCCAAAAUAUUAUUCAGUUCAAAUGUACAGAAAAAGACUUAUCUGUAAAAAUCUUAUUUUUUAAAUAGCAAAUAGUUGUAUUUUCAUUUCCUAAAUGAUUCAUUUAGUGUGGCAUUUAUUUUUUAAUAAUUUAAUGGAACUGAAAGGAAUAUUUAUGAUUUGCAUUUUAGUGUUUGUAUUAACCUAAAACUUAACAUUAUAAGCUUUCUUUUGCAGAAACAUGUUAAAAUUAAUUUCAAGUUUUUUCAAUUAAGACAAUUAUGCAUUAUGCUUUGAAUUACCAUUGUGAUGUACAAAUACUGACAAGAUAAAAUAAUAUUUUAAAUGUAUUUUAUGAAAUUUGGUAUUAAAUACAUUUUCUUUUAAAAA